GGAUCUGUUCAGCCAGUUUUUGUAAAACCCCAGACUUCUGUGAGAACCUGGAAGGGAGUUAGUUCGUAGCAUAGUGUGCUUUGUUGUAUCUGCAUCAGCAAAGCAGAUAAGCUCAGCCUCUCUUCAUCUGAAAAGGGAACAGAGGAGUAGCACCAGGAGACAGUGGAAUACUUCAGGACAUUGUGAAGAUUUCAAGCAACAAGACAACUUCCAGGUCUAAGUCACAUGAACUAGAUUACUGCUGCCAUACUUUUCUGGGGACAUUGGCUUUUGCAUUCCUUUCUGUGCCAAGACAAGUUGCAUUCCCAAGACAUGGCAGAAUUUUAUUGCAUCCCUUCAGCGUGGUAAGUCUGAUGCAACAUGGCAACACCCCAUUUACUGAGUAGAUAAAAACCAAUUAACUCCGUGUUACACACGAGAGAGGAUGAGAGAAUGGC
rnacentral:lncRNA from 1 species